rnacentral:rRNA from 1 species
UGAGAAGAGCUUGCUCUUCGAUUCAGCGGCGGACGGGUGAGUAAUGCCUAGGAAUCUGCCUGGUAGUGGGGGACAACGUUUCGAAAGGAACGCUAAUACCGCAUACGUCCUACGGGAGAAAGCAGGGGACCUUCGGGCCUUGCGCUAUCAGAUGAGCCUAGGUCGGAUUAGCUAGUUGGUGAGGUAAUGGCUCACCAAGGCGACGAUCCGUAACUGGUCUGAGAGGAUGAUCAGUCACACUGGAACUGAGACACGGUCCAGACUCCUACGGGAGGCAGCAGUGGGGAAUAUUGGACAAUGGGCGAAAGCCUGAUCCAGCCAUGCCGCGUGUGUGAAGAAGGUCUUCGGAUUGUAAAGCACUUUAAGUUGGGAGGAAGGGCAUUAACCUAAUACGUUAGUGUUUUGACGUUACCGACAGAAUAAGCACCGGCUAACUCUGUGCCAGCAGCCGCGGUAAUACAGAGGGUGCAAGCGUUAAUCGGAAUUACUGGGCGUAAAGCGCGCGUAGGUGGUUUGUUAAGUUGGAUGUGAAAGCCCCGGGCUCAACCUGGGAACUGCAUCCAAAACUGGCAAGCUAGAGUACGGUAGAGGGUGGUGGAAUUUCCUGUGUAGCGGUGAAAUGCGUAGAUAUAGGAAGGAACACCAGUGGCGAAGGCGACCACCUGGACUGAUAC